GUCUACGGCUAUACUACCCUGAAUGUGCCUGAUCUCGUCUGAUCUCGGAAGCUAAGUAGGGUCGGGCCUGGUUAGUACUUGGAUGGGAGACAACGAUGAGGGAAAUUUGGUUAUCAUAAAGA
rnacentral:rRNA from 1 species